rnacentral:siRNA from 1 species
AUGGGCUGGCCAUGGGCUGACCAU